UACAGAGGGUGCGAGCGUUAAUCGGAAUUACUGGGCGUAAAGCGCACGUAGGUGGCGACGUAAGUCGGGUGUGAAAGCCCCGGGCUCAACCUGGGAAUUGCAUUCGAGACUGCAUUGCUGGAGUACGGAAGAGGAAGGCGGAAUUCCCGGUGUAGCGGUGAAAUGCGCAGAUAUCAGGAAGAACACCAAUGGCGAAGGCAGCUCUCUGGGACGGUACUGACGCUGAGACGCGAAAGCGUGGGGAGCGAACAGG
rnacentral:rRNA from 1 species